GAUCAUGGCUCAGAUUGAACGCUGGCGGCAGGCCUAACACAUGCAAGUCGAGCGGAUGAAGAGAGCUUGCUCUCUGAUUCAGCGGCGGACGGGUGAGUAAUGCCUGGGAAUCUGCCUGAUAGUGGGGGACAACGUUUCGAAAGGAACGCUAAUACCGCAUACGUCCUACGGGAGAAAGCAGGGACUCGGCGUGCGCUAUCAGAUGAGCCUACGGUCGGGAGUUAGU
rnacentral:rRNA from 1 species